rfam:Exidia glandulosa HHB12029 unplaced genomic scaffold EXIGLscaffold_1, whole genome shotgun sequence.
CCCUUGAUAGCUCAGUUGGUAGAGCAUCAGACUGUAAUUGGUUAUCGCGAUCUGGGUGUCGCCUGUUCGAUCCAGGCUCAAGGGA